UUGCUUCGACAGCAUGUAUACUACCGUGGGAACGAUACAGAGAUGAGCAAGGCCACUGUGCAAGGACGAUGCACCAACUCAUGGAGCGUUCCAAAUAUUU
rnacentral:snRNA from 1 species